UACGUAGGUGGCAAGCGUUGUCCGGAUUUAUUGGGUUUAAAGGGUGCGUAGGCGGUUCCAUAAGUCAGUGGUGAAAUACGGCAGCUCAACUGUCGAGGUGCCAUUGAUACUGUGGAACUUGAGUACAGACGAGGUAGGCGGAAUUGACGGUGUAGCGGUGAAAUGCUUAGAUAUCGUCAAGAACACCGAUAGCGAAGGCAGCUUACUAGGCUGUAACUGACGCUGAGGCACGAAAGCGUGGGGAUCAAACAGG
rnacentral:rRNA from 1 species